CUUUUGCUUGCAACGGUCCCCAAAGCCACCUGAACUUUCACCAAGCCAUCUGCUGCCUGGACGGCAAGAGAGGGUAUAAACCAAACAGCCAUUAAGUGACGCUUCUAGGAUCCCACAACCAGACGGUCAGGAACAGACCAGCAGAGACGGGAGAGGAAAUGUCUGUUUAAAACGGAGGAAUGCAUCCGAUGAAGUGAGCUGUA